GUUGGUAUUGCAUACCGUUUAAGGAAAAUUUUAUGGUAAUAAAAUAUAGAAUUGAAAGGUAGAAAAUUUUUGUUUUUUUUGUUGUUUCACAAUAAAAAUUAUAAGUUUUAGGGUUGAAAAGUCGACUUUCAGGAUAUCUGUGUUUUUUUUAAUAUUAGAAAUUUAUGUAGUUAUAUUUAAUUUUAUUAAAUAGUAAAAUUUGAAGUGUUUGUUAUUUUAGUUUUAUAACUGUUUAAUUAUAAGUUUAAAGGUGGCUUAUUUUAAAUUUAUUAAGUUUUAAUAAAUAAAUUGUCUUAAAAUUAGUAAAAGUUAAAAUCAGAUUUUUUUAUAAAAUAUAAUUAAAUAACUAAGAGUUUGAUCAAAUGUUUUUUAAAGACUUAGACUUUUUUAUAAAGUUGGCUUCUGCCCGGUGGUGGUUUAAAUGGCAGUCUUAGCGUGAUAAAUGGCAGUCUUAGCGUGAGGACAUUAAGGUAGCAAAAUAAUUUGUGCUUUUAAUGAGUUCUAGUAUGAAUGAGGUUAUUGGUUAAUUAUAUUUUUAUUUUUUGUUUGAAGUUUGUGACAGUAUAAAAAUUUAUUGUUAUAAUUAUACAAAGAUAAGUCUUCGGAAAUUCUUUUUUACUGUUUAUUUUUUUAUAAACGUUAAAAAUUUUCUAGGGCAGAAUUUUAUAUAAAUUAUUUUAUCUAUUAAUAGCUUAAGGAAUUACUCCGGAGUUAACAGAAAAUCAUAUCUAAUCUAGUACUUAUAGUAAGAUAAGUUUUACAUCGAUGUUGUAUUUAAGUUUGCUAAAAGGGAGAAUGUUUAAGUUUUCAGACUGUUCUUCUUUUAUUUAACUUAACGUGAUAUUAGUUUAAUUCAUCGUGAGAUAGAAUUGUUUAUCUUGAUAAUUAUUUUUGUUUAAUUUUAAUAGUACGAAAGGAAAAUUGAAAAAAGUUUUAAACUUUUUGAGGAUUAUCCCUAG
rnacentral:rRNA from 1 species